GCAAUGCUCUUAACCCCCAAGCC
rnacentral:piRNA from 1 species